GAAAGAGCUGAGAAAGAAGUGGAGACACUGAAGAGGAAACUGGAGACUGAGUUGGAGAAAAACAAAGCUGCUGCUUCCACUUCUAUCUGGCCUUUCAGGCAUCCAGAGAUCUACAACGAUCCGAUGGAAGUGGAGGAGGUAGAUGAACGAAAGAACCUCAUGGAUCGAGAGAGAGAAUUAAUGAAGCAGAUCAACCAACAGGAAGAGAAACAUCAGAGAGAAAUAAAGG